rnacentral:rRNA from 1 species
UUCGGAUGGAAUCGAUAAGUUCUAGCGGCGGACGGGUGAGUAACGCGUGAGCAACCUGCCCUCCACAGGGGGAUAACGCACCGUAAAGGUGCACUAAUACCGCAUAAGACCACGUUUCUGACAUGGGAAUGAGGUCAAAGGAGCAAUCCGGUGGAAGAUGGGCUCGCGUCUGAUUAGCUAGUUGGUGAGGUAACGGCCCACCAAGGCGACGAUCAGUAGCCGACCUGAGAGGGUGAUCGGCCACAUUGGAACUGAGAGACGGUCCAAACUCC